GGAUUUGUAUGAUAAGAAAUAAUCUGGAAUACAUUUGUCCUUGGGCCCCUGAAAGUGCAUCACCAUUGAAGCUCCUGUUUAUUGAACACUGCAUGGCAGAUAUUAUGCUAAACACUUUGUAUAAUUCUCUUAUUUAAUCCAUUUCACACAAGAGACUUAAGAAGUAGGUGUUAACACCAUUUCACAGAUAAGCAAAUAGCUGUUAAACAACUUUUUCAAGGUCUCACAGCUGGCAUGUAUUGGAUUUGGGAUCCAUAUCCAUUUCUUUUCAGCUCCAAAGCCCCACAUUUUCAAUCACUAAGAAACACUCUUCCUAUUUUAUCCCCAGCUAGAUUUUAUAUCUAAUCUGCAAAUUCCUUAGCUCCUUUCCUAGGAACUCUGCUUACCGGGGCUGGGAAGGGAGUUUGGCUGGCUGGGUGAUCUAUUACUUUUUAAAAACCAUCCAUUUCCGUGACCCACUGCCAUCUUGCCACUCCUCCCUGCCCCAGCCCCCAGAAAAACUUCCCCAGCUUCUGACCCAAAGUAGCACCUGGCAAAAUAAUUUAUCUCUUGCAGUAUUGGAAGCUGACAUACUAAUGCAAAGCCUCCUGAAAUAUUACUCAUUAUUAUGCAUUUUGCCAGCAUUUGAGUGAUAUGUGAACUCUUCACUGGAAUAAAGUACUGUAAAUGAUUCAUGAAUGACCAAGUUUAUGAAAUUCUAUAAAAAUAUUAGCAGGUGGUAAUGAUUCCCUCACACUGUGAAUAUGAUCUACUGGCUGCAAAUUUGCCAAUAUGGGAUGACGGGAGUGGAGUGGGAGACCAUCUGUUAGGCGAGUGGGGGAGGAAGACGGUGGGGGGGCGGUUGGGAUGGGCUCUGCAGGAGGUGCAGGGCAAAACAGGAAGCAUGGCCAAGACCAUGGUAGCAGGCAGGUGUCCUUGGCAGGAGACCUUCACACUGAUCUGUUGUCCAGUGGGAGAUGCUCAGAUAACUGGGAAUGUCAGAGCUGGGUGGGAGAAGAGAGGAGCAUAUGGAAGAAGAGGCAAAACUAACUUUAUUGAGCAUCUAUUAAGUGCCCAAGAAUUCCCUAGAUCCCUGACAUACACAGACCUAUGAAAAUGGUUAUCUUGUCUUCACUGAUGAAUUAGAUGAGGGCUAAACAGGUUCCCAAGAUGUAUUUUUACUAUUAAUGUUGGGGUGAACAUGUCUUGAACAUUUACAGUGUGCCAAGGCUCCAUGCCAAAUACUCAGAUGAUGGUCUCAUCUCAUCUUCAUAAAGAUAACCUUGAUACGUCUAUCACACUCAAUUCUAGAACAGGUAACUGGAACCACCUGUGUUCCUGGCCUCAGAACAUGGAAAGGACCUCACUGCCACCUUCUGAGUAUUUGCUCACAUUUCAUACUAUAUAACUUGUUCUUUUUUGAGCCAAUUUCUUGGUCAAGUUUUGAAUUUGUGGUCAAGAAUGUUGUCAUAAAAUUGAAAUACAACUGGCAUUCAGAGGUAUCCUUGCUCAUAUAUUUUCUUUUGUUAAUGUGGCUCUACCCCUAUUCUAACCCAUCUGUAGCUCCAUGACAAUUUGGCAGAAUACACAUUAAAGUGAAAGCUGCUGCCGUCAUGCGGAAAUAGGUGUAUCAUAAUGUCAGUGCUUAUAAGACGAUUGGGAGAUAUAGAUGUACCCAUAUUAGAGAGUUAUUUAAGUGAUUAACCUGGUUAUAAAAACGUUCAUGUUAUGAACAAAUGAUGCACAUAUUACCUUGAUGGGAUUGUACUACACCUGAUUAGACUUGUACUUGGAAAGGACCCCAGCCCUCACUAGUAGGGACAUGCUAUGUAAGUCUUCUUUGUCCUCUACUCUGGUCUCCCCCAUUGCUACCUUUCUUAGCCAGGGUUCUUGGUGGCAGUCAACAAAAUCACCUCCAACUAGUUUACAAAGGAAGAGAUUUAUUAAAGAGUACAGGUAGCCAUUAGGAUUGCCCAAAGUGCCAAGUAACCUAGCUGACAAGGCCAGAUGAGGUGGUGCUACAGGAAAUACCCACAUAUGAAACUAUUCUAGGGCAAGGUUUUUCAACAGUGGCACUAUUGAAAUUUGAGGCUGGGUGAUUCUUUGUUAUGGGGGGCUGUCCUGUGAAUUGUAGGAGGCUUAGCAGCACCAAUGGCCUCUACCCACUAGAUGCCAGUACCACCACCCCCCACCCACACACACACCUAAUCUGGACAAUCAGAUAUGUCUGCUGAUAUUGCCAGUUGUCCUAUAAGGGGCAAAAUUGAGAACCACUGUUAGAGAGAAGUGUCAUAGUCCAUUUUGUACUGCUGUAACAAAAUAUCGGAGCCUGGGUAUUUAUAAAGAAGAGAAUCGUAUUGGCUGUCAUUUCUAGAGGAUGGACAAUCCAAGGUCAAGACACCAGUAGGUUUGGUGUCUUGUAAGGCCAUUCUCUUCUUGCAAUAUGGUGCCUGGCACCUUGCACCCUCCAGAAGACAGGAAGGCUGAAUUCUCAUAUGGCAGAAAGUGGAAGGGCCAAAAGACAGCACCUAUUCCUGAAAGCCUUUUAAAUUAAGGCAUCAAACCUACCCAUGAGGGUGGAACACGCAUGCUCUAAUCACCUCUAAAGGGCCCCACCUCCCAGCACCAUUACAUUGGCUAUUACAUUACAACAAGAGUUUUGGAGGUGACAGGCAUUUCAACCAUAGCAAAGAGUCAAGGUCGCUGCUGGCUCUUCCUGCCACUUUGCUCUGAUGCUCACAACUGGAUGUGGCAGCCCUGCUUGGGUUACCUAAAAGAGCCAGGUGACUUUGCCAAGCUCAGAACCUCUGAUCUGCAAAGCACAGCUGUGGCCUCCCGCCACUCACUUCCAUCCAGUCUCACGCUGGUGCAUCUGCAGGAAGAACCUAGACCGUAAGCAGGACUCUAGGUGCAAGAGAGCUGGGUCAACAUAGUUUUUAGUUUUUCCAGCUCCCUGGUACAGGAAAGUCCGCUUGCCAGAGGACUGGAGUGGUGGUUGUCAUCUACCACAUUGUGAUGACAUGAGUGCAAUUUUUUUAAUUCCAUGGGUUUUUGGGGAACAGGUGGCGUUUGGUUGCAUGAGUAAGUUCUUUAGUGGUGGUUUGUAAGAUUUUGCUGCACCCAUCACACGAGCAGUAUACACUGAACCCAGUUUGUAGCCUUUUAUUCCUCAUUCCCUUCCCACUCUUCCCCCUUGCCAAGUCCCCAAAGUCCAUUGUAUCAUUCUUUUGCCUUUGCAUCCUCACAACUUAGCUCCUAAUUAUGAGUGAGAACAUAUGAUGUUUGGUUUUCCAUUCCUGAGUUACUUCACUUAGAAUAAUAGUCUUCAAUCCCAUCCAGGUUGUUGCAAAUGCCAUUAAUUCACUCCUUUUGACGGCUGAGUACUAUUCUACCAUAUAUAUAUGUAUGUAUACACACACCACAGUUUCUUUAUUCACUCAUUGAUUGAUGGGCAUUUGGGCUGGUUUCAUAUUUUUGCAAUUGCGAAUUGAGCUGCUAUAAACAUGUGUGUGCAAGUAUCUUUUUCGUAUAAUGACUUCUUUUCCUCUGUGUAGAUACUCAGUAGUGGGACUGCUGGAGUGCAGUUUUGUUCCAAGUGAGAGCCUGUCAGUGAGAAGCUUAGUUGCCCAAAGGCAGGUAACAGGCUUACACCUAGGAGACUGUGUUCUCAAACCUGUGAUCUUCACUUCUGUCAUCAUUAGGGUCCUAUCAAUCAAUAACACACAUGUGACCUAGGCAAGAGCCCUGAGUGGG
rnacentral:lncRNA from 10 species